rnacentral:rRNA from 1 species
GAUGAACGCUGGCGGCGUGCCUAAUACAUGCAAGUCGAGCGAACAGAUGAGGAGCUUGCUCCUCUUACGUUAGCGGCGGACGGGUGAUUAACACGUGGAUAACCUACCUAUAAUACUUGGAUAACUUCGGGAAACCGGAGCUAAUACCGGAUAAUAUAUUGAACCUCAUGGUUCAAUAGUUAAAUACGGUUUUUCUGUCACUUAUAGCUGGUUCCGCGCCGCAUUAGCUAGUUGGUAAGGUAACGGCUUACCAAGGCAACGAUGCGUAUCCGACCUGAGAGGGCGAUAGGAAACACUGGAACGGAGACACGGUAAAGACGACUACGGGAGGCAGCAGUAGGGAAUAGUACGCAAUGGGCGAAAGGAUGACGGAGCAACGCAGCGUGAGUGAUGAAGGUCUUAGGAUCGUAAAACUCUGUUAUUAGGGAAGAAAAAAUGUGUAAGUAACUAUGAACGUAUUGACGGUAACUAAUCAGAAAGCAACGGCUAACUACGUG